rnacentral:rRNA from 1 species
AGGGAACGCUGGCGGCGUGCUUAACACAUGCAAGUCGAACGAGAACGGGUUAUAGCUUGCUAUAAUUGUCAGCUAAGUGGCGCACGGGUGAGUAAUGUAUAGGUAAUAUGCCUCUUACUAAGGGAUAACAAAUGGAAACGUUUGCUAAUACCUUAUACUCCUUAUUAACAGAAGUUAAUAAGGGAAAGAUUUAUUGGUAAGAGAUUAGCCUGUAUUGUAUCAGUUAGUUGGUGGGGUAAUGGCUUACCAAGACUAUGACACAUAACUGUGUUGAGAGGAUGAUCAGUCACACUGGAACUGAGACACGGUCCAGACUCCUACGGGAGGCAGCAGUGGGGAAUAUUGCACAAUGGACGAAAGUCUGAUGCAGCAACGCCGCGUGGAGGAUGACACAUUUCGGUGCGUAAACUCCUUUUAUAUGAGAAGAUAAUGACGGUAUUAUAUGAAUAAGCACCGGCUAACUCCGUGCCAGCAGCCGCAGUAA